rnacentral:rRNA from 1 species
GGCUCAGGACGAACGCUGGCGGCGUGCCUAAUACAUGCAAGUCGAGCGGAGUUGAUGAAGUGCUUGCACUCCUGAUACUUAGCGGCGGACGGGUGAGUAACACGUAGGUAACCUGCCCGUAAGACUGGGAUAACAUUCGGAAACGAAUGCUAAUACCGGAUACACAACUUGGUCGCAUGAUCGGAGUUGGGAAAGACGGAGUAAUCUGUCACUUACGGAUGGACCUGCGGCGCAUUAGCUAGUUGGUGAGGUAACGGCUCACCAAGGCGACGAUGCGUAGCCGACCUGAGAGGGUGAUCGGCCACACUGGGACUGAGACACGGCCCAGACUCCUACGGGAGGCAGCAGUAGGGAAUCUUCCGCAAUGGACGAAAGUCUGACGGAGCAACGCCGCGUGAGUGAUGAAGGUUUUCGGAUCGUAAAGCUCUGUUGCCAGGGAAGAACGCUAAGGAGAGUAACUGCUCCUUAGGUGAC